GAAAUGCGAUAAGUAAUGUGAAUUGCAGAAUUCAGUGAAUCAUCGUAUCUUUGAACGCAGCUUGCGCUCCUUGGUAUUCCUUGGAGCAUGCCUGUUUGAGUAUCAUGAAAUCUUCAAAGUAAAUCUUUUGUUAACUCAAUUGGUUUCUACUUUGGUAUUGGAGGUCUUUGCAGCUUCACACCUGCUCCUCUUUGUUCAUUAGCUGGAUCUCAGUGUUAUGCUUGGUUCCACUCGGCGUGAUAAGUUAUCUAUCGCUGAGGACACUGUAAAAGGUGGCCAAGGUAAAUGCAGAUGAACCGCUUCUAAUAGUCCAUUGACUUGGACAAUACUUUUAUGAUCUGAUCUCAAAUCAGGUAGGACUACCCGCUGAACUUAAGC
rnacentral:misc_RNA from 1 species